GAGUUUGAUCCUGGCUCAGAACGAACGCUGGCGGCAGGCCUAACACAUGCAAGUCGAGCGAGACCUUCGGGUCUAGCGGCGGACGGGUUAGUAACGCGUGGGAAUGUGCCCUUCUCUGCGGAAUAGCCACUGGAAACGGUGAGUAAUACCGCAUACGCCCUUCGGGGGAAAGAUUUAUCGGAGAAGGAUCGGCCCGCGUUAGAUUAGAUAGUUGGUGGGGUAAUGGCCUACCAAGUCUACGAUCUAUAGCUGGUUUUAGAGGAUGAUCAGCAACACUGGGACUGAGACACGGCCCAGACUCCUACGGGAGGCAGCAGUGGGGAAUCUUAGACAAUGGGCGCAAGCCUGAUCUAGCCAUGCCGCGUGUGUGAUGAAGGUCUUAGGAUCGUAAAGCACUUUCGCCAGGGAUGAUAAUGACAGUACCUGGUAAAGAAACCCCGGCUAACUCCGUGCCAGCAGCCGCGGUAAUACGGAGGGGGUUAGCGUUGUUCGGAAUUACUGGGCGUAAAGCGUACGUAGGCGGAUCAGAAAGUAAGGGGUGAAAUCCCAGGGCUCAACCCUGGAACUGCCUCUUAAACUCCUGGUCUUGAGUUCGAGAGAGGUGAGUGGAAUUCCAAGUGUAGAGGUGAAAUUCGUAGAUGUUUGGAGGAACACCAGUGGCGAAGGCGGCUCACUGGCUCGAUACUGACGCUGAGGUACGAAAGUGUGGGGAGCAAACAGGAUUAGAUACCCUGGUAGUCCACACCGUAAACGAUGAAUGCCAGUCGUCGGGCAGUAUACUGUUCGGUGACACACCUAACGGAUUAAGCAUUCCGCCUGGGGAGUACGGUCGCAAGGUUAAAACUCAAAGGAAU
rnacentral:rRNA from 1 species